CCUACGGGGGGCAGCAGUGAGGAAUAUUGGUCAAUGGGCGCGAGCCUGAACCAGCCAAGUCGCGUGAGGGAAGACGGUCCUAUGGAUUGUAAACCUCUUUUGUCGGGGAGCAAAAAGGCCUCGUGAGGUCACAAGUGAGAGUACCCGAAGAAAAAGCAUCGGCUAACUCCGUGCCAGCAGCCGCGGUAAUACGGAGGAUGCGAGCGUUAUCCGGAUUUAUUGGGUUUAAAGGGUGCGUAGGCGGUCGGACAAGUUAGAGGUGAAAUCCCGAGGCUCAACUUCGGAAUUGCCUCUGAUACUGUUCG
rnacentral:rRNA from 1 species